GGUCUUUUCUUAUAAUUAAACUUGUCUUUAUCAUCAUGUAUAAAUACUAGUGCCUGCUAGACUCUCUGCUCACAAGUCUAACUUGACAAAUUGUACCUCAGUGUAGUAAAAGAUGAAGGGAAGAGAGGAGCAGAGUCACUGUUAUUUAAUGAGUGUUCUGCUGUUCUAAUGUUAAUUAAGUGAAAUUAAAAUAUAAUUUAAAAACUAAAAUGACUUGACUGAACAAUUAGGCCAAUUAACCUACUAAUAAUUAAGUCAAUUCUAGUCAACAUUGAUAAUGAACUGUUAUUUUUAUGCAGUCUGAAUUUUAAAUAUAUUUUCAUAGAUUUAAAUUGUGAUUCGAUUCGAAAGUUUUAC
rnacentral:misc_RNA from 1 species